ACCUAUUCCCUGCCACAUGAUCCUGGGGGCAGAUGGAUAGCUGAUCUCUGAGUGACUACAGUGAACAAAGAAAGAAAGACUCCUGCCAAACCUUGUGGACAGGUAGUACAAGCAAGAAAUUAACUUUUGUUCUGUUAAGUCUCUGAGAUGUUGGUUGUUGUUUUCCAUUGUAUAACCUACUUUUCUUGACAAAAACCCUCAUUAAAGCAGAGCCUGAGCUCCUCUCCACUAUUUAAAGAACUUGGGGAUCUAGAUCAGGACUAGCCAUCCUGGAGAUGUUCAGUAAAGAUUCUCUAAUUGAAUACAAAAUGUCCAAUAACAAAAUAUGGGUUUUUUGAAGGCCCAAUAGAAUGGGUCAUGUUUUAGUCUCAUUUUAUGAUUUAUUAAAGUCAAGGAUAGCAAAGAAAGUAAUAUUUUUUAAGAUGCUUAAAAUAGAGUGUUAAAGUAGGGGAGAGGUUCUUAACCUAUUCCCUUCACUCUUGUGUGAGAGAAGCUAUCAUUUAAAACCCUGGCUCUUUUCAUACUUCAAUCCUACUGAUGUUUUUCUUUUCUUUGAGACGGAGUCAGGCUCGAGUGCAGUGGUGUGACCUCUUGGGUUCAAACGAUUCGCCUGCCUCAGCCUACUGAGUAGCUGGGAUUACAGCUGCAUAUCACCAUCCUUGGUUAAUUUUUGUGUUUUUUAGUAGAAAUUAGGUUUCAACAUGUUGGCCAGGGUGGUCUCAAACUUUUGACCUCAAGUGAUCUGCCUACCUCAGCCUCACAAAGUGCCGGGAUUACUGGCGUGAGCCACCAUGCCUGGCCCCUACUGACUUUAAAAAUAUGAAGUUGUAUGGUUGAAAAGUAACAGAUUUUUCUUCCAUUUUCUUCCUUUUCUCACUUUUCAGUCAGAUAAUUGGAAUGUUCCCUUUGUAAGGUUGGGAAGAAGGACGAUCAAGUGGGUAGCUAGCUCCUUGCACCUCUGUGGAAGAGCUAAACUUCCUCUGUGAAGAGCUUCACCACAGGGCCCUUGGCACUGGGGACAGAGUGGCACAUUUAUACCAAGCACCCACUUCCACUUUCUCUCUAACACUUGAAAACUUUCACAGUACUUUUUCACUAAGGCUACUGUCAAGUCUGAAAAAUAAAGACAUUGUUUCACUUAGAAGUUGUAUUACCUGUGGAUUAUUUAAACUCCCCUAAAUGACAUCUAGAUGAUAUAGUAAGAAAUUUGUUGUGUAGUGUACAGUCAACUCAGAUACAAAGAAUGUAAUGGCUUUAGUGAGCCAACUGUACUUGUAAAAUUAAAACUUAACCAACAUGUUGAAUCAGGCACAUAAAGUAUUGGCUAAAUUCAUUUGCUUCCUUAUAGACAUUACUUUAGAAAUUCCUCUUUAGUGUUUAAAUAAAUAAUAAUCUAAAGUAAAAAGCACAAACAGGAAAAUAGGCUUUACAGUUAAUUAUUUUCUUUUGAAGUUUUAUUCUUAUUGUUUUUACUCUCAAGAAGUGGCGAAGUAUCUUUAACUGGGUAAAAGUAGAUUGUCUUUACCAAACUGUAUAUUUGGGUUUUUGUGAAUUCCCAGUAUCUUUUGGGGUACAUACAUAGUGUGCCAACAUUUGAAAGUAAACAGAGAAAUGAAUUCUGCAUAUAAGUCUGGCUUUUUACGUUAGGUUAUGAUCAAGACAAGUUGAUUUGUUCCUGGACACAAGGUGAGCCCAUAUGCUACUAGGUUACCCCUCACCUUGCUAGACAGAUGCAGAUUUAUGAGGGCAAACCUUAUAGGAACAUCCUCUAUCAUUCCUCAGAUGAUAAGGCACUGGCUCCCAUAUUAAGUUUUAACAAUCUAGUGAGUGAAAAAUGAAAAACAGCGAGUAUCUCUGGAUUUAAUCACAGACACAUAAGAAAAGUAAAAUUAUCAUUCAACCUCAGGGAUAGUGGAUGAAGGCAGAAUCUUAGUCUUAUAAAUUUAAUUUAAUACAUGAAAUGCCUCCAAGAUUUGAGGCUUUGUGGGAUAAUAAGAAACAAUCACGGAAGACCUGCACUUUGAAUAAUCCAACGUCAAUUUUUGCUUUUUAUCUUACUCAAUCUCUCAGCAACAUUAGACAUGGUUGACCCCUUCCUAUUUCUUGAAGUAUUUUCUGUGCUUGGCUCCCAGGAUGCCAUACUUUCCUGAUUUUUUUCCCAUAUCAUUGGCUUCUACUCCUUUGUCUUUUGUUGAUUCAGUCUCAAUUCUCCAGCCUCUGAAGUUUAAAAUGCACCAGAACCAGUCCAUGGACUUAUUUAGCCUCACUCUUCCUACUGAUCUCCACACAACGCCAUGUGUAUGCUGAGGACUCUAAAAUAUUCCGUCUCUUCCUUGGUGUCCAGACUUGAAUAACUGCCUACCUGACAUUUCAACUUGCAUCUCAAACUUAACAUAACUCAAUUUUCCUCAAUAAAACUUUCCUCUCCAUUGUUAUCCAUGUUAGUAUAUGAGACCAUGAUUUGGGCAAAAAACUUGGAAAUAAAUCUUUAUUCCUUUUUUUCCCUCAUAUCCACCCAAUCCAUCAAAUUUUAUCAGCACUUCCCUUAAGAUAUUCUAUAAUUGUAUCAUUUGUUACUACCCUUGUCCAAAUCUACGUUUACUCUUGACCCCUUGCAAUCAAUUUUCUACACAGCAUCCAACAUGUUAUUCUUUAAAAUGUUAAAUAUUUUUCUUUGACACAUACACUAUUGCUGAAAAUCUUACAAUAGCUUCUCAUCACACUUAGAAUAAAACCACAGUGCUUUCUUCCUAAAAGGUUCGUAUUAUUUGAGCACUUGGUUCUCUCUCCAGUCUCAUCCUCUCAGUCCUGUGAACUGUCUCAAGCUACAGUGACCCCCACAGUGUUUUUUGGCAAGUCAGUCAUGCUCCUAUUGCUCUUCUUAAAUUUGCUUAUCUUUCUGCCUCAAAUGUUCUUCCUCAAGAUAGCCUCAUGGCUCACUCCCUCAAUUCCUUCAGUGUAUCUUCACAUUAAUCAUUCAAAGAGGGUCUCAAGUAAUGUAACCAAAUCUAUUCCACACUCUCCUUUAUCCCCUACCCUGCUCAAUUUUUCUUCAUGGUCACCAAAAACAAGUAAAAAAAUGAGACAAUGAUCUUCGAUACAUUGGACAUCAAACAAUAAAAAACAAUAAUUUCUGAAAGACUGGAGUCAAUCAAGGUGAUCUCUAAUUUUCCUCAGCUUAUUGAUUUAAAAAAAUAAUCCAGACCUCAGAACAGGGAAGAGGAAUGCAAGUACAGCCUAGAGAACUUCCUGAGUUGAGGAGAUGAAACCAAGAGUCUGGGGAGGCCAACACAGCUGGAGUUUUCAGGAUAUAGUAUAUGAAAAUAGAAAGCUGCACCAAAAAAACCCAAAAAAAAACAAAACAAAAAAAACAACUCCAGAGACCUGCAGAAGAAGGUCCUUUUUUCAGCAGAAUACUGAUCAACACAUGCAUGUGAGGAAUCCAUCCAAAGCCAGGGGAAAAAAAAACACUCAAAAAAUUAGAGAAAGCAGUGUCUAGCAUUAACACUGAGCUCUCACCAGCCAGAAUGCACAACCAUUUAAUUCACAGGGCAUUAGUAGAGUACUCAGAAGGGUCUUGCCUCAAUAGUGGAAAACAAUUAGCCCUAGACUAAACACUAUUCUGGUCCCACAUAAUGAAUCAUAAAAGCAAAACACAAAAAUAUGAAAUUGUUUUUAAGUAGCUGCAUUCUACAACAAAGCUCAAAAAGCUGUAGGAAUACAAAUAACAUGCAGUAUUCAACAAUGCAAAUUCAAAGUGUCUGGCAUCAAAUAAAAGCUUACCAGGUACGCAAAGAAGUAGGAAAAUAUGACUCAUAAUGAGAAAAAUGUCAAUCAAUUGAAACUGACCCAGAACAUAAGCAGAUAAUAGAAUAAAAGCAUAAAAAAAGAAUACUGCAUUCCAUAUAUUCAAACAAAUAAGUAACAACAUAAGAAUGGUAUAAGAAAGACCCAAAUCAAAUAUUCAGAGAUAAAAAGUACAAUGUAUGUGAUUUAAAAAAUACACCAUAUAAGAUUAUCUGAUUAUUAAGCUUUAGUGAUUUUGAACACAUAACAAUUAAAACUAUCCAAAACAAAACAUCUAAAAUAAUUUUCAAAAAUGUCAUAAAUGAACUAUGGAACAACUUUAAGUAGCCUAAUAUGCAUUUAAUUGGAGUCUCUAGAAAGGGGUGGAUAGAAAAUACAUAUGAAGAAAUAAUGAAUGAAAAAUUUCCAAACCUGAUUAAAACUAUAAAACCACACAUAUACAAGUAGUUCCAUGAAACCCAAGGACAAAAAAAUGAAGAAAACUACAGCAAGGCACAUCAAAAACAAAUUGAUCAAAACAAAAC
rnacentral:lncRNA from 10 species